AACUAACCAGGAUUUCCUUAGUAGCGGCGAGCGAACAGGAAUAAGCCCAGCACUGAAUCCCGCCGUUGUUACGGCGGCGGGACAUGUGGUGUUCGGGAGGUUCCGCUUUCUCGUCGUUGUUUCCUCCUGUCCAAGUUCGUCUUGAACGGGGCCGUUUUCCCGUAGAGGGUGCCAGGCCCGUAGCGACGGAGGACGGCGGCGAGAGGGACUCUCCUCAGAGUCGGGUUGCUUGAGAGUGCAGCCCUAAGUGGGUGGUAAACUCCAUCUAAGGCUAAAUACUACCGCGAGACCGAUAGCGAACAAGUACC
rnacentral:rRNA from 1 species